rnacentral:lncRNA from 1 species
GGCUCAUCUAACUUAUGUGUUUGGAUGUAUGGUUAUUUUUCACAAGGAUGUAACUAUUAUAUGCUGUGACACUAAUUGAAAUCUCGCUUCAAACUCCUCUCUUUACCAAAAACAAAAAGGGUAAACAGGCCAGAAAUGAGAAAAGCUUAUGAGAAUGACCUAAACAAAAACCAUGCACUUUAUCUUUUCUUUCAUCUCU